CUAUGCGCCAGUAUUACAUGACGUAUUGCCUUUGAUAUGCGCCCGCGUGUGACGGUGACGUUUAUAUAGUCUAGCGCAUGUUUUGUUUACUUGUAUUAAUUUUGGCUCCUUGAAUGAAAAGGUUGCCUCUUGUUUAAAUAUAUUUCUAUCUAUGGAUUGUGUGUAUGACUUAUCGUCUUAUUAACUGGCGUGGUGGCAGCGCGGUUGAACUUACGCCAAGUUAUCGGCGUCAGGAAACAACUGAGUGUUAAAUGCCGAUCUAUGUCUAACUCUGAAAUUACAAUUUAAGUCAA